AAUACAUAGAUCAUUAAGGCAAUAUUAACUAGUUGGUAGUAUUUAUCACAUGCGCUUGGAGAAAGGACGAAGUUUAUUUAGAAUUAGUUGUUCAGUUUCUUGGAUUUUAACAAAUUGUGUUGUUAACAAAUAUAGAAAUUUGGAAGGUAACAUUUGAGAAAUAUUAAAACUUUUCACCCUCUUUAGUUGAUUGGAAUGAAAAUGUAGAGAAAAUUGAAAUACACAAUUCCCUAAUUUCCCAAACCUAAACUUAUUUUCUUUCAACAACUCAAAUACCUCAUUUUAACCUCGUAUGUAAAUACCUUAUAUAUCUCAAUCAGGGAAAAAAUAUCAGAAAAGGAGGAAAAAUAGUUAACUAUUAAGAAUAAGUAAAGUAACAAAAUAUCAAGUUGAAAUUUAGAACGAUAUUAAAAGCAUUGGAUUCUUAAA